UCGUAUCCCCUUCCAUCUAUGAAUUGUCAUAUAAAUUGAUCUCAUUCAACCCGUGUAACUAGAAGUAAAACCCUUUCGAAAGCUAGUCUCUCCUCUCUUGCUCAACCCUUCGGUGCGCAGGUAGACUAUACGCCACCGACCACAAGUUCGAACCGAUAGCGCCACUAAGUUCAGCAUGCCAUUCGUAUGUUAAAGCCGCCAACGACCAUUAAGCACCGCCACCACCUUGACUCAUUACCGAUGUAUGGCUCGCAAUCAGCGCCACCGUUGUUUUAGAUUUGCCACCUUCUGUCACCAUGAGUCGCCAUUGCCGCUGUUUCGUUCUUUCGAUCAGAAGAGGUUAGCGUGCGUUUUCCAAACGAGUUGGUUAUGUGAUUGCUUUGCUUGCUAAACUAAGGUAAUAUAGGAUGAUCUGGGAUCUCAGUGAGGAGCGUUAGGAAGUUGUUGGCCAAGAUUCUUUAUUUCAGUAAUGUAAUAAAUGUAAUUAGGAUAUUUUAUUUAACGCUAUGGAUUGGUUUUUAGUUUUGAAAUCUGUAAGAGUGACACGUUAGCCCUAGCGGGGUUGGGGUGUUACAUAGCAACUGAUGACAGAGCAGACAACAAGGACAACGGUCAGGCUACGUGGGUCCAAUCAACGCGCGCCAGCUCUCCUCUCGCCCAGAAGCACCAACGGUCGUGGUAGAGGGGACAAAACGAAUGUUCCUUGUUGUCAACGACAAGGCCCAAGGCCCAUCAGCCCAUCUUCUUCCACACAACUCCGACUAUAAAUAGGAACCUUCAUCUACAGGUUUAAGGAUCCACUUGCUCUCUUACUCCUAAUUACAUACUUAAUCCUCGAUACACAUACUUAAUCUCACACCGGAGAGUGGUUAAGAGGAGGAUCCCCUUAUUCCCCUCCUCUUAAUGAGCCUAACGGGUUGUUUAGUGUUUGCAGCAGAACCACCAUCACGGCUUGGACGAGAUAAAGAAGAUUAACCUUAUUUGUCGAGGCACAUACCACAAACUAAUCACCAGAUUAGUUUUGUGUUUCUUCAGAUGACGAUAAAACUACCAUAAUUUUCUGUUUCUAGACAUAACAAUCGAACAAAACCUGUAUUUUACCAGUAUAGAAAUAUCUAGCUAGGCGAGUUAUCUCCAUAAUACUUUACAAAAUACACACAAA